UACGAAGGGGGCUAGCGUUGCUCGGAUUCAUUGGGCGUAAAGGGUGCGUAGGCGGCGCGGUAAGUCGGGUGUGAAAUCUCGGAGCUUAACUCCGAAACUGCAUUCGAUACUGCCGUGCUUGAGGACUGGAGAGGAGACUGGAAUUUACGGUGUAGCGGUGAAAUGCGUAGAUAUCGUAAGGAAGACCAGUGGCGAAGGCGGGUCUCUGGACAGUUCCUGACGCUGAGGCACGAAGGUCAGGGGAGCAAACGGG
rnacentral:rRNA from 1 species